GACGAACGCUGGCGGCGUGCUUAACACAUGCAAGUCGAACGGUAAGGCCCUUCGGGGUACACGAGUGGCCAACGGGUGAGUAACACGUGGGUGAUCUGCCCUGCACUUCGGGAUAAGCAUGGGAAGCUGGGUCUAAUACCGGAUAGGACCACUGCCUGCAUGGGUGGUGGAAAGCUGUUGCGGUGUGGGAUGGGCCCGCGGCCUAUCAGCUUGUUGGUGGGGUGAUGGCCUACCAAGGCGACGACGGGUAGCCGGCCUGAGAGGGUGGCCGGCCACACUGGGACUGAGAUACGGCCCAGACUCCUACGGGAGGCAGCAGUGGGGAAUAUUGCACAAUGGGCGCAAGCCUGAUGCAGCGACGCCGCGUGAGGGAUGACGGCCUUCGGGUUGUAAACCUCUUUCAGCACCGACGAAGCGCAAGUGACGGUAGGUGCAGAAGAAGGACCGGCCAACUACGUGCCAGCAGCCGCCGUAA
rnacentral:rRNA from 1 species